rnacentral:rRNA from 1 species
CAAUAGCGUAUAUUUAAGUUGUUGCAGUUAAAAAGCUCGUAGUCGGAUUUUGGCUGAGAACGAUCGGUCCGCCGUUAGGUGUGCACUGAUUGGUCUCAGCUUCCUGGUGAGGAGGUGUGCUUCACGGCCACUUAGUCACCGUGGUUACUUUGAAAAAAUUAGAGUGUUCAAAGCGGGCUUACGCUUGAAUAUAUUAGCAUGGAAUAGCACCAUAGGACUCCUGUCCUAUUUCGUUGGUCUCGGGACGGGAGUAAUGAUUAAGAGGAACAGUUGGGGGCAUUCGUAUUUCAUUGUCAGAGGUGAAAUUCUUGGAUUUAUGAAAGACGAACUUCUGCGAAAGCAUUUGCCAAGGAUGUUUUCAUUGA